CCUUCAGCCUUGUUGUUGAGCUGCGUCUCCUUGUUGUAGAACAGUUCCUCUUGUGUCUCCGUGGAGAACUUGAGGUUGGGGCCCUUCACGAUGUGUUCCACAGGGCGGGCCUCCGGUAGCAGCUGCACUAGAUGCACUUGGCCUUGUCGAUGUCAUAGCGGGUGGUCCUGCAGGUGACGUGGGUCUCGCUGGUGAUGGCCUCGUAGGGGCAGAGCGCCAGGCAGAGCUGGCCCACGGUGCAGCGCUCCUCUCCUCUCCCCAUGGAUGGAUGCAUGGCGGCGCAGUGCAUGCUCCCCGUGGAAGCACGGACCCAGCGGGCCUUUCUCAGGCAAUCAUGUGGCUGUGUCUCUCUUCAUGGGGCUUCAAGACGAUGUCCCUCGAGGCCAUUUCUUAACUCUAAAUUCACAAGGUGGCUUGUGCUACCCUGGGAAAUGAUGUGAGAAGGACUUCAAAAACCCCUGGUGGCUGAAGAAUGGUUGAGGUUAGGAGCCAAAACAAAUGGAAGGGUGGCCAUCGUGCCAGGUACCGAAUGAACAUAAAUGAAAGAAAACCAGCCACCAGAUCAACCUCACAUGCCCUGCAUGGUGCCUCAGAAGCCAUGGAAUAGAGGCUCUGGCUUCUCCAGACGGAAACCCAUUGCCAAGCAAGAACUGCCUGUGUCCUGAGGCUUCAAGUUGCUCUUCCCAAUCACAAAACAAGAGAAUGUGAGGUCACUGUCAGAAGUCUGAGCCUGGGACAAGAGUCGGCUCCACCUCUCUGAUCCUGAGCUUGAGAGCAAAGCCUGCUCCAACUCCUGGGGGGUCCCCCUCGGCUACAUCUUGUUACCUCCCAUCACUGAAGCCGUUCCCAAGCACCAUAGGCCACUUUGGGUGGUUGAAGAACUUUUCUGCAGUCAAGCUGGGGGACAGUCUAGAAGUCAAAGGUGAGGAAAUGGGGGAGGGUAUACAAUAAAGAGACAAAAAGGGCUUUUGUUUUGUUUUGUUUUUUGGUGCUGGUGUCUGAAGCAGUGCUGAGACCCAGAUCUAAACUCUAUGGAGUCAUUACCUGUAGGGGAUGGAGAACUCUGCCAAUCCGAAAGCUUCACAGUACUGAAUACAGCUCUGAAUCAGCCACCUAGUGCUUCUCUUCCAUGUACAUUGUUAUAGGAUCUAUUUGGGACAGAGAGCCCACAGGGGUGUCAUAUGGGCCGGGCAGCAGAUAGGUUGAAUUGCAGGAAACUGACGUUUUAUAGGUUAAAAGUUAUAAAAAGCCAAUGAAAAUGGUUGCCAUUUGGAACAUUUUUUUUUUGGCCUGCAAAAUGGCUCUUCCAGGAGGUCCUAAUAUUUUAUAGAAUUUUGUGCCUGGGUCUAUGCUCGGCACCAUGGAGGUACCAGAAAUGUCAGAACCACUGUUGUUGGUAGGAGUCAGCCAACUAUGACCCAUGGGCCAAAUCUGGCCCAAUGCCUAUUUCUGUGAAGUUUCAGUAGGACACAGUCACGCCCGUUUGUGUACUGACUGUCUGGGACUGCUUCCAUGCAACUGGAGUUGUGCAGUUGAACAAUGACUGUACCAUCCACAAAGCUUAAAUAGUCACUGUCUACCCCUUUACAGAAAGUUUACUGACUCCUGCGUCACACACUGUGAGAGACGAUGAUCAUUCAUAAACACUACCAUUUUUCAUCGAUAAUUUAACACCUCUCCUUUUUCUGCUUUCCCUUUCAUCAUUAUUCUUUUUCCUCCUCUAAGUGUCUGAAUUUCUAGUCUCCCCUUUCCUCAGUCUCCUUCACUGUCCUUGCUUAUUCCUAGUCUGUUA
rnacentral:lncRNA from 1 species